GGGGAGGGAGGGGCAUGCAUGGCCCCUAUUGGCCCUAACUAAGGUACGUCCCCCGUACACCACUCUUGCUCAAAAUAUAAUUUGUUCAUUUUGUUGCACUGAGUGCUCAAAUACUUAUAGCCUUGCAAGCAACCCCUAUUCAUACUUGUAAUGUGGUGCCCAUCUUCUCUAAACAUACAAUCAGUAGUGCUAGUUAAGUGCAUUGAUUUAAAUUAAUAUAAAUCUGAAUCUUUAAAGGAGUUUGUUUAAGCAUCACUAUGAACUGGGGUAGAGGUGGAGGUGCAUCGAUCAUGUCGAACAUCUAAACAUAAGUAAGGGCAGGUGCAAUGGUUAUAUUUUUGGUAGGGUGCGGAGCAAGUCAAGUUACCCUAGUUAUCAAUAAAUUAAAAGCGAAAAAUGCUCUAACUUUCAUUCCUUUAAUAUUGAGCGGGACCCAUUGGGAACUAGAACACAAUUUGAACAAUCUUUCCCACCCACAAUAUUGGCAUGUGUGUUGAGUACGUGCACGGGCCGCGUACCCACGUCAUUUUUUGUAGCAUGCGAAACAAGUCAAAUCAUUGGUUAUCCGCUGCCUUUCAACUUCCUUUUUCUCUUCAUAUCGAGUAGGAUCCAUGAGAAUUAAAAUAUAAUUUUAAUUAACCUUUUCCCUUGUAUAUAGCUUCUGCAUGUUUGUUGAGCCAUUGCUUAUUGGGGACCCUACUACUCACAAAAAUAAUUUGUUUAUUUAUUACAUCGGUGCUCAAAUACUCGUGCCCUGAUUGUAAUAAACCAUUAUUCAUACCCCAAUUAGAAUUGUGAUACCCACUUCUCUAAGCCUACAAUUGAUAGUCCUAGAGUAGGUGCAUUGCUUAUUUUUUUUUGGUAGGGUGCCGAGUAAGUCACGUCAUCAGUUAU
rnacentral:lncRNA from 1 species